rnacentral:rRNA from 1 species
CACUGACGAGUUUGAUCAUGGACUCGAAGAUUGAACGCUGGCGGAAUGCUUUACACAGUGCAAGUCGAACGGUAGAGGGGGCAACCCUUGAGAGUGGCGAACGGGUGAGUAAUAUAUCGGAACGUGCCCAGUCGUGGGGGAUAACGUAGCGAAAGUUACGCUAAUACCGCAUACGAUCUAAGGAUGAAAGCGGGGGAUCGCAAGACCUCGCGCGAUUGGAGCGGCCGAUAUCAGAUUAGGUAGUUGGUGGGGUAAAGGCUCACCAAGCCAACGAUCUGUAGCUGGUCUGAGAGGACGACCAGCCACACUGGAACUGAGACACGGUCCAGACUCCUACGGGAGGCAGCAGUGGGGAAUUUUGGACAAUGGACGCAAGUCUGAUCCAGCCAUUCCGCGUGCAGGAUGAAGGCCCUCGGGUUGUAAACUGCUUUUGUACGGAACGAAAAGGUUUCUCUUAAUACGAGGAGCUCAUGACGGUACCGUAAGAAUAAGCACCGGCUAACUACGUG